AGGGAUACUGCUGCAUGGGUUUGGGUGUUCAGAGCUGGGAAGGGUAUAAGAAACAGGCUUUGAGGAAUGGAACCUGAGACCAAAUAACGGGAGAGAUUCUUUAGGACCCGCAGCCCAAAGUCAGCCAUCCCCGUGAGCUCAGCAGGAGGCGUUUUGCUGGGAAGGCUCCAUUCCCCCCUCUGUUACAGCCUCGUAAGCUCUACUUUAGGAAACCUGGAGAUCCGACAGCAGCCAGCAGAAGGAAAGGGCUGAGUGCUGAGUUAUGGGUGCCAGAGCAAAUCCGGACAUCUCCCCGUGUUCCAUUGGGAGCUCCCAUGGAAGGCGGCCGGGGAAGCGGUGACCGACUUCGUGUCCUUCACCUGAACCCCCAAACCUCACACAAACUCAUUAGAGGUGAAUGGAAAGCCUAUGGUGCUCAGUGAGAACCAUAUCCACGCGGAAAUGGGAUUCAAACCUCUCGCUGUUCCUUCUCCUAUCUAUUAUACAUGAGCCAUCAGAGCAGCGUAUUAAUAAAACAGGAGUGAAAGCUCUUGGCACUGCCCCCUCCUU
ensembl:lncRNA